UGAAGUGUGUGUGUGCCUUUGUGCGUAGAAAAAAAGUGUUGGUUUUUUUGCUGGUGCCAAAAAGCUAUCAUACUAUGGAUUAUACGGGUAAGUAAUUCACAAAAAUGUUAUUUAAAACGGCACAUCAAAUACCCGAACAGAUAAAAAAUAAACCGCCAAAAACCACAAAUUUAAAAACUUCGUCAAGUUUCAACGCACGAACGCGUUCGUUCAGUUGUAGUUUUCAUUCGUGCGUCAUAAACGCAUGCUCGCAACGAAACAUUUGACAGCUAAGCACUGAACUGACAUUGCAGAAAACAAUCAUUCCCCAAAUAGAAGCGGAAAAGCGCACAUCGCGCGUUUGCUGAACGCGUGUUGUAAAAGUGAAAAUCUACUGGCUAAUUUUCAGCAGUUCUGUUUAACGUUGCAAUAUGAAGAAAUACAAGCUGUCGAGCCGGCAGACGCAACCGAGCAUUAUGGCGCCUAUAUACCGACGCUCUAUUAUCGUGGGAACAUUUGAUGACUUACAUAAAAAUAAUACUUAAGUUAAGACACUGCGCAACACUUCCUUCUUACCGGAAGGAUUGAAAUAUAUAUGUGAAUUGAAA